UUCCUGAUUUUCCCAUCGUUCGGGGCAUUCUGGGGCUGUUUUGGCUAUUGGUUGCUUGUUUGGUCUUGAGCUGAAUGGGUGGCUUCUAGUCUGGUGGCUUCGGGGAUGUUGUCCGUAAAGGUGGAUGAGUGGUGUUUGGUUUGUUACGUGUGGUUGGCUGCGGCGUUUGCAACAACUUCCAUGCUUUCAGACCUUUUCAGUUGUGCGGCAAGGCUUGUAUUGCCUUGAGCGUACUGUGGGUUUUCUGUGUUGGCUACCUAAUCAAUGGUAUCGGUUGGAUUGAUCAAAGUUUGAUUUCGUCUUCCGUCGCAUUCGCGGCGUGAGGUGAACCUCGAUGCGGUCUCUUUGAUCCACCUCGUUGAAGCAAGUGAUUCGACGUUGUGGCACAUUGAGCAUUGCUUGGUCUCUUGUAUACGGAACAUAUAGUGGGCAUGGAUCUAACGAUCCUUGUUUGCCCUCAUAUUAGCGUAACGCUUCUCUAACACGACUUGCGCCAUGUUUNAG
rnacentral:misc_RNA from 1 species